rnacentral:rRNA from 1 species
CGAACGGGUGAGUAACACGUGGGCAACCUGCCCCAGACACCGGGAUAACCAUCCGAAAGGAUGGCUAAUACCGGAUACGACCACUUUGGGCAUCCAACGGUGGUGGAAAGGAUUCUGGUCUGGGAUGGGCCCGCGGCCUAUCAGCUUGUUGGUGGGGUAAUGGCCUACCAAGGCGACGACGGGUAGCCGGCCUGAGAGGGCGACCGGCCACACUGGGACUGAGACACGGCCCAGACUCCUACGGGAGGCAGCAGUGGGGAAUAUUGCGCAAUGGGCGAAAGCCUGACGCAGCGACGCCGCGUGAGGGACGAAGGUCUUCGGAUUGUAAACCUCUUUCAGCAGGGACGAAGCGAAAGUGACUGUACCUGCAGAAGAAGCACCGGCUAACUACGUG